AUUGACCUUUACACCCUUCUGUGUAUUUUACCUGUUUUUGGAUGAUGGAAUUAGUAAAAUAUUCCAUAGAACAAAUAUUUUAAACUAUUAUUCAUAAUGAUAUUAGUCUGAUUUUGUAUAAAUAAAAGUUAAAACUUUCAACAACGGAUCUCUUGGUUCUCGCAUCGAUGAAGAACGCAGCGAAAUGCGAUAAGUAGUGUGAAUUGCAGAAUUCAGUGAAUCAUCGAAUCUUUGAACGCACAUUGCGCCUUCUAGUAUUCUGGGAGGCAUGCCUGUUUGAGCGUCAUUAAAUCUUACUCUAGCAGUUUUGCUUGGAUAUGAAGGAAGAGUAUAUAAAGGCUCUCCUUUGAAAUGUAUUAGUAGAUGUAAAGUUGUGAAUUACACUGUUUUGAUGUAAUAGUCUUUAUUGGUUGUGAUUUGUAUACAACUAUAUCUUGCUUUAACAUAUUUUUUUUUUUUA
rnacentral:misc_RNA from 1 species